UCUACAGUAAAGAAUGGGAGACACUCCCCAGAUACAGGAGUGCCAAACUUGUAGAGCCAUACCCAAGAAGACUUGAGGCUGUAAAAGCACCUUAGCAGCUUACGGACUGGGAUUUAUGCAUCGAGGCUGUGAAUGAAUGGCCAGGCUGGAGUAUGUCCUGGAGUAUUGAGAGCAACAAUAAAAAUUAUAUUGCAAGGAAAUCAUUUUAAAAUGUGAGAACUAAUAAAUUGUACAUCUGA